CCUGAGCAACACAACGAGACCCCUUCUCUACAAAAAAUUAAAAAUUUAGCCAGGUGUGGUAGUGGCACACAUCUGUAUUCCCAGCUACUCAGGAGGCUGAGGCAGAGGGUCACUUGAGCUGGGAGUUCAAGGCUGCACUGAGCUAUGAUCGUGCCACUGCACUCUAGCCUGGGCAACAGAGCAAGACCUCAUCUCAAAAAAAAAGAAAGAAAAAAUAUAUAGUUUAAAAUGAGUUCCAGCUAUCUUUAAACUAUGCCCCACUUAUCACUGGUCUGAAUAAAGAAGGAGAAACAGAACUUCCCUGUGCCAGAAUGCAGUCAGGUCUAUUUCACAGCCAGCUCCUACUGACUUUAAGAAAGCUCAGCUUAUGCCAUCAGAGUGGAAUUCCUUGGCCCAGGGCCUCCAGCAGAAGCCCCCUGAGAGGACACCCUGACCCUCCAGCCCAUCCCAUCUCCUGACCUUCUCUGUCAUUGCUAUCUUGCCAGUCACCCCUCCGGCCCCCACUUCACCCAAGAUCUUCCCUGUGGGAAUGAACUGAAACAUCGAGAUUUUUCUGUGGUGAUCGAACUGGAGGACUCUAACUUUCACUUACAAGAUCUAUUCAUGUUUGCAACAACAUGUCAUGAUGGGUGGAGAAUACUAAUACCAAAGGACUGAGUCUCUUUAAAUAUGACCAACUGACUUAGCAGGCAGCUGGUGCCUUGGUUCCUUUCUAUCCCUCACACUUAAGAUAACUUGCCAAGACACUGAGGGAUAUUUUGAACCUUUCAGGCCUAAAAGCUGUGAUUUGGAUGGAAUCAAUAAAAUGGCAAGAGCUAUCUCCAACUUUGCCACCUGAGAAACACAAGUCCAAGUCCAAUACUUACAGAAGAAAUAACCAUUCCACCUAGUCAAGGAACUAGCCAACACUUAACAGAGGAUUGCCCUUGGUUAUAGAGCUAACUGCAAAUGAAGUAACUAGAGGAAGACCAUUUACCUUCUCCAUUGAAGAGACCAUUCAAGAGCCAACUCAGCAACCAGGUUCUAGCAGUGUUACUGACCGGAUGACUGGCACUUAGAGUCCAGCACCCUGCUGAGAAACCAGCAACCCAUGUGAGGAUUCCAUGGCCGACUAAGAUCACAAGACUCUUGAACAGAAGAAAUGCCAGGAGAGCUAGAAUCUUACAGAUGGUGGUAUUAAUAAUGGAGCAAACUAGAACCAAUGACAAAGACAUGAAGUCUGAAAAUAACACAGAGAAUAUAAAUAUUAUGAGAUAAAUGUUCCCCCUCCAAUUCUCCUUAUUUGCCAAAUAUUUUCAUUUCCUUUUGUCAUUAUAGAAAAUAGAACCAUGCAUCACAGUCAAAAGUGCUCCACUAGCAACGUUGUAUGAUUCACUCUUUUUGUCAUACAUGUCUUUAGUAAUUGAUGGAUAUUAAAAUCACACAGAAUAUUUAAUAA